rnacentral:rRNA from 1 species
ACGCAAGUCGAGCGCGAACGGUUCCUUCGGGAACCUAGUAGAGCGGCGAACGGGUGAGUAACGCGUGGGUAAUCUGCCCUCUGGUGGGGAAUAACCACGGGAAACUGUGGCUAAUGCCGCAUGAGUUCCCGGAGUCUUCGGAGUUCGGGAGGAAAGCAUGCCUCUGCUUCAAGCAUGCGCCGGAGGAGGAGCCCGCGUCCCAUUAGCUAGUUGGUGAGGUAACGGCUCACCAAGGCGACGAUGGGUAGCCGGCCUGAGAGGGUGACCGGCCACACUGGGACUGAGACACGGCCCAGACUCCUACGGGAGGCAGCAGUGGGGAAUUUUGCGCAAUGGGGGAAACCCUGACGCAGCGACGCCGCGUGCGGGAUGAAGGCCUUCGGGUUGUAAACCGCUGUCGUACGGGACGAACCCCCGGUGGAUGAAUAAGCCAUCGGGCUGACGGUACCGUGCAAGAA